GAUGUAGGAUGUAGGCCGACAACCAGAAAAACCAAUCCACCUUUACAAAGUUGGAAGUCUCAGGCUCUCUCUCCCCUGACCUCCAAGAAAGGAAGGAAGCUGAACUUCGGGUUAAUUCGCCAAGUGCCUGUGGCCUAGAACGUCUACCCAGUAACGCCUUGUACAAAGACCCUUCAACAGCAGGCUCCCGGGCUUCUGAGAGGAUCAGGCGCACUGCAGUGCAGGGUGAGUGACAGGCCAGGAGAGGGUAAUGGAGGCUCUGUGUCACCUGCACCAUCUCCUACACUGAGUAGCCCCCCAUCUGCUCCUCCCCGAAGUUCUUCUAAAUGAGCUGGUGGUAAUAAGAAAAAAACACCUUCCUGCCUUCCAGCGUUCUGUGGGCUGCUCUACCACGCCAGGCCCCAGGAAAUGGAGGAGGCUUGAAGGAACCCCCUGUGUUGUUAAAAUGUCUAGGUUCCCGGUCAGGGAGCCAAUGUUGUUGAAAUGUCUGGGUUUACCCAGUAAGGAGACGCAAACCGACUCAAGCCAGAGAGGGGGAGGUGUUGCUUUUUUGCGUUCCCUGUUGCAUACACAAGACCUGCAGUUAGGUACAUGAACCUUGGAGACGGUGUUCAAUCAGCAUUAAAUCAAGUCAGCACACACAUUCAUUGACCGUGGCACGCUGGGCUUCCAGAACAACCCUGGAUGUAGCUGUGGCUACCACUAAAGGUGCAAAGUAGAUGUAGUUCUGCCCGCGACCAAAGAAACAAGACGCCCAGCACAAGCUUUCAGUCAUGCCAAACCCAGACACAGCGAAGCCCAGCAGCACUGUCUGGAUAACCCGCCCCGACCAGCCCUUCCUCGGCAGUGCCAGCAAGGCUGAGCAGCCCAGCUCUGGAAGGGGCAGCGAGCAGAGCCCUGGAGAUCAUCGGCACCGCCACGUGUCCUUGGAAUGGCAUCCGUUAAAGGACUUCUCCUUCUGUGGCAUCCAUCUGCCUAAAGCAAAGCCAGGUUGCUCCUGGAGGUCUUCCCGUCCCUCAGCUGCCUGUCAACCUCAGCAGCCUGGCGCUUUCAUCUGGUGACAGUGGCUCACCAGAAAGGACCACAGUCAGUCGGGAUUAAAAAGCACAGAACGCACCAGACAGACAGGUUCCACACACCCCAAGUCGCUGUUACGUAAAUAAAAUACUUUCUCUAAACAGAA